AUGAUCCGGAGGUUUACCCCGCCCGGUUCAAAAUUCUUUUGGGACGUACUGCACUUUUUCCAACUUCAUCCUCAAGAUAUUGGGCCCAAUUCUGUCUCCAAUAUUUGCAACUUCCAAGUCUUUUGUGAAGCUUAUCUUCAAGAAGAGCCCACUAUUGAAAUGUUCAGAGAAUUUUAUUACUUAAACCGGCAGACAAAGUUCACCGAUGGGCCCAGUUUGGAACUAGGCGGAGUUUCAAUUCAGAAGAGGAAAGAAGCCAUUUUCCCACAUGCCAAGCCGCCCAGUCACCCCAAGGACUGGAACCAGACUUGGUUCUAUUGCCAAGAUACAUCUCCACAAGGUGAGAAUCCUCUGCUGGGUUACCUUGAACACCGGCUCAACAACACACAUCCACUCCCACAGCGCAUCAGUACAAAGGAACGGGCCAAGUAUGUGCCUAUUUUUUCAAAGAUCAGAGCCUUCAUGGAUAACGGCUUAACUGGCAUCAACCUUGUUCAGUGUUGGUUCUCCUGGAGGAUCCUGCCAUUAAGCCACCGCCCCGGCUUAAUGUGUGAGUACACCGGCAACUUGAAAGAUCCCCAGCGCCACUGUGAAAUCCAAUUAUCUGACACUGAAGUCAAUGAAGCGACCAAGGCUUUGUUGAAUGAAAGCUGGGCAAAAUGCAGUAAAAUCGAACUUAGUCCUUUCUGCACUUUCAACCAGCCGCCAGCUGUAAGUGUUACACAUCAUUUUUUCGAUUUGAAUCCUGUUUUCAUUAACACUGUCCACUUAUGA
rnacentral:rRNA from 1 species